rnacentral:rRNA from 1 species
GGCGAUACCCGAAUGGGGAAACCCAGUGUGAUUCGUCACACUAUCAUUAACUGAAUCCAUAGGUUAAUGAGGCGAACCGGGGGAACUGAAACAUCUAAGUACCCCGAGGAAAAGAAAUCAACCGAGAUUCCCCCAGUAGCGGCGAGCGAACGGGGAGGAGCCCAGAGCCUGAAUCAGCAUGUGUGUUAGUGGAAGCGUCUGGAAAGGCGCGCGAUACAGGGUGACAGCCCCGUACACAAAAGCGCAUGUGCUGUGAGCUCGAUGAGUAGGGCGGGACACGUGGUAUCCUGUCUGAAUAUGGGGGGACCAUCCUCCAAGGCUAAAUACUCCUGACUGACCGAUAGUGAACCAGUACCGUGAGGGAAAGGCGAAAAGAACCCCGGCGAGGGGAGUGAAAAAGAACCUGAAACCGUGUACGUACAAGCAGUGGGAGCACCCUUUGGGUGUGACUGCGUACCUUUUGUAUAAUGGGUCAGCGACUUAUAUUCUGUAGCAAGGUUAACCGAAUAGGGGAGC